rnacentral:rRNA from 1 species
UGGGGAAUAUUGGACAAUGGGCGCAAGCCUGAUCCAGCCAUACCGCGUGGGUGAAGAAGGCCUUCGGGUUGUAAAGCCCUUUUGUUGGGAAAGAAAAGCAAUCGAUUAAUACUCGGUUGUUCUGACGGUACCCAAAGAAUAAGCACCGGCUAACUUCGUGCCAGCAGCCGCGGUAAUACGAAGGGUGCAAGCGUUACUCGGAAUUACUGGGCGUAAAGCGUGCGUAGGUGGUUGUUUAAGUCUGUUGUGAAAGCCCUGGGCUCAACCUGGGAAUUGCAGUGGAUACUGGGCAACUAGAGUGUGGUAGAGGGUAGUGGAAUUCCCGGUGUAGCAGUGAAAUGCGUAGAGAUCGGGAGGAACAUCCAUGGCGAAGGCAGCUACCUGGACCAACACUGACACUGAGGCACGAAAGCGUGGGGAGCAAACA